AACGAACGCUGGCGGCAGGCUUAACACAUGCAAGUCGAACGCAUCGCAAGAUGAGUGGCAGACGGGUGAGUAACGCGUGGGAACAUACCCUUUUCUACGGAAUAGCUCUGGGAAACUGGAAUUAAUACCGUAUACGCCCUACGGGGGAAAGAUUUAUCGGGGAAGGAUUGGCCCGCGUUGGAUUAGCUAGUUGGUGGGGUAAAGGCCUACCAAGGCGACGAUCCAUAGCUGGUCUGAGAGGAUGCUCAGCCACAUUGGGACUGAGACACGGCCCAAACUCCUACGGGAGGCAGCAGUGGGGAAUAUUGGACAAUGGGCGCAGGCCUGAUCCAGCCAUGCCGCGUGAGUGAUGAAGGCCUUAGGGUUGUAAAGCUCUUUCACCGAUGAAGAUAAUGACGGUAGUCGGAGAAGAAGCCCCGGCUGACUACGUGCCAGCCGCCGCCGUAAUAC
rnacentral:rRNA from 1 species